GAUGAACGCUGGCGGCGUGCCUAAUACAUGCAAGUCGAGCGAACAGAAGAGGAGCUUGCUCCUCUGACGUUAGCGGCGGACGGGUGAGUAACACGUGGAUAACCUACCUAUAAGACUGGGAUAACUUCGGGAAACCGGAGCUAAUACCGGAUAACAUGUUGAACCGCAUGGUUCAACAGUGAAAGACGGUCUUGCUGUCACUUAUAGAUGGAUCCGCGCCGCAUUAGCUAGUUGGUAAGGUAACGGCUUACCAAGGCAACGAUGCGUAGCCGACCUGAGAGGGUGAUCGGCCACACUGGAACUGAGACACGGUCCAGACUCCUACGGGAGGCAGCAGUAGGGAAUCUUCCGCAAUGGGCGAAAGCCUGACGGAGCAACGCCGCGUGAGUGAAGAAGGUCUUCGGAUCGUAAAACUCUGUUAUUAGGGAAGAACAAAUGUGUAAGUAACUAUGCACGUCCUGACGGUACCUAAUCAGAAAGCCACGGCUAACUACGUG
rnacentral:rRNA from 1 species